UCGCUACUACUGAUUGAACGGUCCGGAGAGGUCCUUAGAUCUGGCCAACGAGUCCGCUUACGCAUGGCGGCAUUCUGCGCCGACGUCGGCAUUCUGCGCCAACGUCGGCGCAUUCUCUGAUGGCCUAGAGAAGACGACCGAACCCAAUUGCUUAGAGGAAGUAAAAGU
rnacentral:rRNA from 1 species